GAGUUUGAUCAUGGCUCAGAUUGAACGCUGGCGGCAGGCCUAACACAUGCAAGUCGAACGGUAACAGGAAACAGCUUGCUGUUUCGCUGACGAGUGGCGGACGGGUGAGUAAUGUCUGGGAAACUGCCUGAUGGAGGGGGAUAACUACUGGAAACGGUAGCUAAUACCGCAUAACGUCGCAAGACCAAAGAGGGGGACCUUCGGGCCUCUUGCCAUCAGAUGUGCCCAGAUGGGAUUAGCUAGUAGGUGGGGUAACGGCUCACCUAGGCGACGAUCCCUAGCUGGUCUGAGAGGAUGACCAGCCACACUGGAACUGAGACACGGUCCAGACUCCUACGGGAGGCAGCAGUGGGGAAUAUUGCACAAUGGGCGCAAGCCUGAUGCAGCCAUGCCGCGUGUAUGAAGAAGGCCUUCGGGUUGUAAAGUACUUUCAGCGGGGAGGAAGGGAGUAAAGUUAAUACCUUUGCUCAUUGACGUUACCCGCAGAAGAAGCACCGGCUAACUCCGUGCCAGCAGCCGCGGUAAUACGGAGGGUACAAGCGUUAAUCGGAAUUACUGGGCGUAAAGCGCACGCAGGCGGUUUGUUAAGUCAGAUGUGAAAUCCCCGGGCUCAACCUGGGAACUGCAUCUGAUACUGGCAAGCUUGAGUCUCGUAGAGGGGGGUAGAAUUCCAGGUGUAGCGGUGAAAUGCGUAGAGAUCUGGAGGAAUACCGGUGGCGAAGGCGGCCCCCUGGACGAAGACUGACGCUCAGGUGCGAAAGCGUGGGGAGCAAACAGGACUAGAUACCCUGGUAGUCCACGCCGUAAACGAUGUCGACUUGGAGGUUGUGCCCUUGAGGCGUGGCUUCCGGAGCUAACGCGUUAAGUCGACCGCCUGGGGAGUACGGCCGCAAGGUUAAAACUCAAAUGAAUUGACGGGGGCCCGCACAAGCGGUGGAGCAUGUGGUUUAAUUCGAUGCAACGCGAAGAACCUUACCUGGUCUUGACAUCCACGGAAGUUUUCAGAGAUGAGAAUGUGCCUUCGGGAACCGUGAGACAGGUGCUGCAUGGCUGUCGUCAGCUCGUGUUGUGAAAUGUUGGGUUAAGUCCCGCAACGAGCGCAACCCUUAUCCUUUGUUGCCAGCGGUCCGGCCGGGAACUCAAAGGAGACUGCCAGUGAUAAACUGGAGGAAGGUGGGGAUGACGUCAAGUCAUCAUGCCCCUUACGACCAGGGCUACACACGUGCUACAAUGGCGCAUACAAAGAGAAGCGACCUCGCGAGAGCAAGCGGACCUCAUAAAGUGCGUCGUAGUCCGGAUUGGAGUCUGCAACUCGACUCCAUGAAGUCGGAAUCGCUAGUAAUCGUGGAUCAGAAUGCCACGGUGAAUACGUUCCCGGGCCUUGUACACACCGCCCGUCACACCAUGGGAGUGGGUUGCAAAAGAAGUAGGUAGCUUAACCUUCGGGAGGGCGCUUACCACUUUGUGAUUCAUGACUGGGGUGAAGUCGUAACAAGGUAACCGUAGGGGAACCUGCGGUUG
rnacentral:rRNA from 1 species